rnacentral:rRNA from 1 species
UACGUAGGGUGCAAGCGUUAAUCGGAAUUACUGGGCGUAAAGCGUGCGCAGGCGGUUUUGUAAGUCUGUCGUGAAAGCCCCGGGCUCAACCUGGGAAUUGCGAUGGAGACUGCAAGGCUUGAAUCUGGCAGAGGGGGGUAGAAUUCCACGUGUAGCAGUGAAAUGCGUAGAGAUGUGGAGGAACACCGAUGGCGAAGGCAGCCCCCUGGGUCAAGAUUGACGCUCAUGCACGAAAGCUAGGGGAGCAAACGGG